rnacentral:rRNA from 1 species
UACGUAGGGCGCGAGCGUUGUCCGGAAUUACUGGGCGUAAAGAGCUCGUAGGUGGUUUGUCGCGUUGUCCGUGAAAACUCACAACUCAAUUGUGGGCGUGCGGGCGAUACGGGCAGACUGGAGUACUGCAGGGGAGACUGGAAUUCCUGGCGUAGCGGUGGAAUGCGCAGAUAUCAGGAGGAACACCGGUGGCGAAGGCGGUUCUCUGGGCAUUACCUGACGCUGAGGAGCGAAAGUGUGGGGAGCGAACGGG